GAGUAACACGUGAGCAACCUGCCUUUCAGUGGGGGACAACAUUUGGAAACGAAUGCUAAUACCGCAUAAGACCACAGUGUCGCAUGGCACAGGGGUCAAAGGAUUUAUCCGCUGAAAGAUGGGCUCGCGUCCGAUUAGCUAGAUGGUGAGGUAACGGCCCACCAUGGCGACGAUCGGUAGCCGGACUGAGAGGUUGAACGGCCACAUUGGGACUGAGACACGGUCCAAACUCCUACGGGAGGCAGCAUG
rnacentral:rRNA from 1 species